AGGAGUUUGAUCCUGGCUUAGGAUGAACGCUAGCUACAGGCUUAACACAUGCAAGUCGAGGGGCAGCAUGUGGUUGCUUGCACGAUGAUGGCGACCGGCGCACGGGUGAGUAACGCGUAUCCAACCUUCCCUAUAGUAGAGGAUAGCCCGGCGAAAGUCGGAUUAAUACUCUAUGUUGUUCAAUGCAGACAUCUAAGUUGAAUCAAAGGUUCACCGCUAUAGGAUGGGGAUGCGUCUGAUUAGGUAGUCGGCGGGGUAACGGCCCACCGAGCCAUCGAUCAGUAGGGGUUCUGAGAGGAAGGUCCCCCACAUUGGAACUGAGACACGGUCCAAACUCCUACGGGAGGCAGCAGUGAGGAAUAUUGGUCAAUGGGCGAGAGCCUGAACCAGCCAAAGUAGCGUGCAGGAUGACGGCCCUAUGGGUUGUAAACUGCUUUUAUACAGGGAUAAAGUCGGGGACGUGUCCCCGUUUGUAGGUACUGUAUGAAUAAGGACCGGCUAAUUCCGUGCCAGCCGCCGC
rnacentral:rRNA from 1 species